AUGGAUGAGACUGAACACCGAAAGAAGAAAAUGGAAGAGAAAGAUGGAAGUGGAGGAGGAGGUGGGGGAGGAGAAAGAGGAAAAAGAGGAAGAGGAAAGAAAGAAAGAAGGAAAGAAAGAAAGAAGGAAAGAAGGAAAGAAAGAAAGAAAGAAAGAAAGAAAGAAAGAAAGAAAGAAAGAAAGAAAGAAAGAAAGAAAGAAAGAAAGAAAGAAAGAAAGAAAGAAAGAAAGAAAGAAAGGAAGGAAGGAAGGAAGGAAGGAAGGAAGGAAGGAAGGAAGGAAGGAAGGAAGAAAGAAAGAAAGAAAGAAAGAAAGAAAGAAAGAAAGAAAGAAAGAAAGAAAGUAAGAAAGAAAGAAAGAAAGAAAGAAAGGAAGAAAGAAAGAGAGAAAGAGAGAGAGAAAGAUAAUACCUCAAUCUGUAUUUAGAUGAUCAGCUUUUUCUUUGAGGGCAGAUGGCAUUUUUCAUCAUGAGUCUCUAGGAUUGUCUUGGAUCACUGUAUUGCUAAGAAUUAUUAGGUCUUUCACAUUGGUUCAUCAAAAAAUAUUGCUGUUGGGACAGCUAGGUGCCUGGAAACUGGAAGUACUAGGUAUAAAUCUGACCUCAGACACUUCAUAGUUGUGUAACCCUGGGCAAGUCACAACCCAAAUUGCCUAGUUCUCCAUUCUGCUGCCUUGGAACUGAUACAUUGUAUUGAUUCUAAAUUGGAAGGUAAGGGUUUUUAAACUGAAAUAUUGCUGUCUCUAUGUACAAUGUUCUGUUUCUGCUUACUUCACUUUGCAUCAGUUCAUGUAGGUCUUUCCAGCUUUUACUGAAAUCAUCAUAAUCAUCAUUUCUUAUAACAGGACAGUUUUCCAUUAUAGUCAUAUACCACAACUUGCUCAGCCAUAAAGAACUUUAAAAAAAAAAUAGGAGGGGGGUAGCUGAAUGGCUCAGUGGAUUAAGAGCCAGACCUAGAGACAGGAGGUCCCAGGUUCAAAUCUGGCCUCAGACACUUCCCAGCUGUGUGACCCUGGGCAAGUCACUUGACCCCCAUUGCCUAGCCCUUACCACUCUUCUGCCUUGGAACCAAUACACAGUAUUGACUCCAAGAUGAGAGGUAAAGCUUAAAAAAAAGGAGUAAGAUGAAAUAAAAAAUGAGCAAAACUGUUCA
rnacentral:lncRNA from 1 species